UGGGGAAUAUUGCGCAAUGGGGGCAACCCUGACGCAGCAACGCCGCGUGCGGGAAGAAGGCGUCCGCGUCGUAAACCGCUUUCAGCAGGGAAGACAUCGACGGUACCUGCAGAAGAAGCCCCGGCUAACUACGUGCCAGCAGCCGCGGUAACACGUAGGGGGCGAGCGUUAUCCGGAUUCAUUGGGCGUAAAGCGCGCGCAGGCGGCCGCUCAAGCGGGACCUCUAACCUGGGGGCUCAACCCUCAGCCGGGUCCCGAACUGGGCGGCUCGGGUUCGGUAGGGGCAGGCGGAAUUCCCGGUGUAGCGGUGGAAUGCGCAGAUAUCGGGAAGAACACCGACGGCGAAGGCAGCCUGCUGGGCCGCAACCGACGCUGAGGCGCGAAAGCCGGGGGAGCGAACAGG
rnacentral:rRNA from 2 species